rnacentral:rRNA from 1 species
GACGAACCGAGCGAACGUUGUUCGGAAUCACUGGGCUUAAAGGGCGCGUAGGCGGGUUCUCAAGUCCGGGGUGAAAUCCCACAGCUCAACUGUGGAACUGCCUCGGAUACUGGGUGCCUCGAGGGUGGUAGGGGUAUGCGGAACUAUCGGUGGAGCGGUGAAAUGCGUUGAUAUCGAUAGGAACUCCGGUGGCGAAGGCGGCAUACUGGACCACAUCUGACGCUGAGGCGCGAAAGCCAGGGGAGCGAACGGG